ensembl:lincRNA Gm29520 predicted gene 29520
UAAAUGUUUGCACUCUGUGAGGUUCUGCAUCUUUAUUCUCCAAAUUCACCUCCCAUCUCAGACCUGCUCAGGCAGAGACCAACUUAAACAUUUCUUGAAACAGAUCGGGUGUAAGUGACAAGGAAAUACCAUGACGUACAGAAUAUUUGAGCAAGAGUCCCCUGUAGGAUUCCAGUUUCUCUGCCGGAAAGCCGAGGCAAUGGGAACAUGCAGGGGACAGGGGACGGGAAAUAAAAAUGGAGAAACAGGCAAAGGAUUGUGGGCCAAUUGGCCUACGGUCAUACAGAUGCCCUAAGGUUUUAUUGUAACUAAUAUUUUUUAAAAUGUUGUUCCCAAAUCUAUUAUGAUCUCUUGGUGAGAAGCCUAGGCAUAUGCCUUUGUACAGACUCUGUGGGUGACUUUAGGAGAAGAUUAGGGUUUUAUGUAGACACAGCUGCUUUUCUUCUUAUUUAUUUAUUUACAUCUCAGAUGCUGCUCCACCUCCCGGUCACCUCCCCACCCCAGAGUCCCUGAUCCCACUAUUCCUCCUUCCCUUUUCCUCUGAGAGGGUGCUUCCCCCCCCCACCCCCAGUAUUUCCCCCACCCUGUCUCAUCAAUUCUCUUCACAGUUAGGCACAUCCUUGUCUAAAGCAAGAUAAGGAAACCUUAUUGGGGAAUGGAUUUCAUAGUCAGGUGACAGCUUUAAGGACAACCUCUGCUCCUGUUGUUGGGGAUCUAUAUGGAGACUGAGCUGCUCAUCUGCUACAUAUGGGGGAGUGGGGGAGGGGACCUCAGUCCAGACUGUAUGCUCUUUGGUUGGUGGCUCAGUCUUUGAGAGCUCCCAGGGGUCCAUGUUAGUUGAAUCUGCUGGUCUUCCUGUGGAGUUUCUAUCCUGUACAGGGCUUUCAGUCCUUCCCCCCAACUCUUCCAUAAGAGUCCCCAACUUUCAUCCAAUGUUUGGCUGAGGGUCUCUGAAUCCAUUUCCGUCAGUUGCUGCAUAGAGCCUCUCAGAGGACAGUUAUGGUAGGUUCCUUGAGAGUCAACAAGAAAGCUGAUUUGGACAGUUCAGAAGUUCUGGUAGUGUCUAG